UACAGAGGUCCCAAGCGUUGUUCGGAUUUAUUGGGCGUAAAGAGCUCGUAGGCGGUUUGUCGCGUCUGCUGUGAAAACUGGAGGCUCAACCUCCAGCCUGCAGUGGGUACGGGCAGACUAGAGUGCGGUAGGGGAGAUUGGAAUUCCUGGUGUAGCGGUGGAAUGCGCAGAUAUCAGGAGGAACACCAAUGGCGAAGGCAGAUCUCUGGGCCGUAACUGACGCUGAGGAGCGAAAGCAUGGGGAGCGAACAGG
rnacentral:rRNA from 1 species